UCCCUGGUGGCUCAGAUGGUAAAGCAUCUGCUUGCAAUGCAAGAGACUUGGGUUCGAUUCCUGGUUCAGGAA
rnacentral:tRNA from 1 species